GGAGGGAUCAUUACAAG
rnacentral:rRNA from 1 species